rnacentral:rRNA from 1 species
AAACAAAAGAGUUUGAUCCUGGCUCAGAUUGAACGCUGGCGGCGUGCUUUACACAUGCAAGUCGAGCGGCAGCACGACCUUCGGGUUGGUGGCGAGCGGCGAACGGGUGAGUAAUACAUCGGAACGUACCUUUUAGUGGGGGAUAACGCAUCGAAAGAUGUGCUAAUACCGCAUAAUCUCUGAGGAGGAAAGGCGGGGACCUUCGGGCCUGUCGCUGAAAGAGCGGCCGAUGGCUGAUUAGCUAGUUGGUAGGGUAAAGGCCUACCAAGGCGAUGAUCAGUAGCUGUUCUGAGAGGAAGAUCAGCCACACUGGGACUGAGACACGGCCCAGACUCCUACGGGAGGCAGCAGUGGGGAAUUUUGGACAAUGGGGGCAACCCUGAUCCAGCAACGCCGCGUGAAUGAAGAAGGCCUUCGGGUUGUAAAGUUCUUUUGUCAGGGAGCAAAGGGUGGGUGCUAAUACCAUCUAUCGCUGAGAGUACCUGAAGAAUAAGCACCGGCUAACUACGUGCCAGCAGCCGCGGUAAUACGUAGGGUGCAAGCGUUAAUCGGAAUUACUGGGCGUAAAGCGUGCGCAGGCGGAUGAUUAAGUUAGGAGUGAAAUCCCCGGGCUCAACCUGGGAACUGCUUUUAAGACUGGUCAUCUAGAGUUUGUCAGAGGGGGGUGGAAUUCCAAGUGUAGCAGUGAAAUGCGUAGAGAUUUGGAGGAACACCGAUGGCGAAGGCAGCCCCCUGGGAUAAAACUGACGCUCAUGCACGAAAGCGUGGGUAGCAAACAGGAUUAGAUACCCUGGUAGUCCACGCCCUAAACGAUGUUUACUUGCUGUUGGGGGCAACCUUAGUAGCGAAGCUAACGCGAGAAGUAAACCGCCUGGGGAGUACGGUCGCAAGAUUAAAACUCAAAGGAAUUGACGGGGACCCGCACAAGCGGUGGAUGAUGUGGAUUAAUUCGAUGCAACGCGAAAAACCUUACCUGCUCUUGACAUGUACGGAAGAUUUCAGAGAUGAGAUUGUGCCUUCGGGAACCGUAACACAGGUGCUGCAUGGCUGUCGUCAGCUCGUGUCGUGAGAUGUUGUCUUAAGUGACGCAACGAGCGCAACCCUUGUCACUAGUUGCCAUCAUUAAGUUGGGCACUUUAGUGAGACUGCCGGAGCUAAUCCGGAGGAAGGUGGGGAUGACGUCAAGUCCUCAUGGCCCUUAUGAGCAGGGCUUCACACGUCAUACAAUGGUAAGUACAGAGGGAAGCAAAGCGGCGACGUGGAGCAAAUCUCAUAAAACUUAUCGUAGUCCGGAUCGUAGUCUGCAACUCGACUACGUGAAGUCGGAAUCGCUAGUAAUCGCAGAUCAGCAUGCUGCGGUGAAUACGUUCCCGGGUCUUGUACACACCGCCCGUCACACCAUGGGAGUGGAGGAUACCAGAAGUAGUUAGGCUAACCGCAAGGGGGCCGAUUACCACGGUAUGUUUCAUGACUGGGGUGAAGUCGUAACAAGGUAGCAGUAGGGGAACCUGCGGCUGGAUCACCUCCUUUCU